rnacentral:lncRNA from 1 species
UUUAUUUCAGUCAAAUAGUUUAAAUUUUAUUAUGAUCAUUUUUUUAUAAAAAAAAAUAAUCAAAAUCAUUUUUUUCUAAAACAUAUAAUAGCAAGUGUGGAACAUUAUAGGUUCCCCAAGCAGUUAACCCUUCGGGUAUCCCUAGCCUAGUUUGUUGAUCUAGUUCCCCUGCGGAGUGUUUGAUCCCCAGUGGAGCUUUUGUACUUUUCCCCAGCUGAGUUGGUUGAUUCAGUACCUUGCGGAGUUCAU